rnacentral:snRNA from 1 species
AUAUGUACCUGGCAGGGGAGACACUAUUAUCACGAAGGUGGUAUUCCUAGGGUGAGGCUUAUCCAUUGCACUCCGAAUGUGCUGACCCCUGCACUUUCCCCUGAAAAAAAAUUGAAAAAUAGAGC